UUUGUCACGUGUCGCUCGUCACUCCUAACUUUUCACCAGCACCCGUGGGACGUUUAUGUCUGUGCUGAGGACGUGUGUAUUCAGAGCAUUAACUGAUUAUAUGCCUUUAUUUAGUUUGGACAGGAGCAAGUUCUGCUUACUGUAAAGCCUACUGGUUCAGUCCAGUCCAGGAUGACUUUUACAGUUAUACACACCAUAUAUGUGUUUAAACAGUUUCAUGGACAGCACAAAGUUGUCUCACAACAGCAUUUUUGUGCUGCUGUGGUUCCAACUUUAACUAACAGGUUUGAGUGUUUACAGAGAACGCCCCCUUUAUUCAGGGGCAAUUCAUUGACCUGUAUACUGCACCUGUAGGCUUUCAGUGAUCUGUUAUUGUGCUUAAUCCAGUGAUAUGCUUUCAUUUCAAGACACGUUAAAAAUAACUGUAAAGUUGUUUUUGUUUUUUCAAAUAAUAUCUUUAAGUGUUAUCUUGGAGGAUAAGAGAAAGAGGGGGAAGUUUUAUUAACUAAUCCUUUUUUUUUUUUUUUUUUUUUUUUUUUUUUUUCCCUCUCCCCCUACCAAAUGAGGUAAAUAAUAAUCUGCACCCACAGUUGUGCCCCGUCUCUCUCUAGUCCCAGCUACGAGUACCUCUCAGUGCCUUUGGCAGGCAUAUCGUUCAGCUCUGUGUUGGAAAGUGUGCUCGUUCGUGAGCGGUUAAGGAGAAACUCGAAGCAAAAGAGAUGUGCUGCUGCAAAUGUUUAUUGUUUUAUAUAGAAGUAUACUACAUUGAUUAUUACCCUUUCUACUUGUUCUGUCUCUUGACUUUUCUGUUCAGCGGGGCUUCACACAUGAAGUUGAUGGAAUAUCCGUUAGGUCGCCAGCUCAUUUUCAGUAACAGUUGGAGCAUUUCAGCUUGUACAAGGCAGUAUUUGUCAUGUAUGGUAACGUUCUCUAUUUUUAAAAAUUGAUUUGUCUACUCCUAAUAGUUUAAAUUCAAACAUGGGAUUCUUAUAAUUAAUCUCUAAAAUUGACGAGCCCAUGUAUAAGGGCAUUCUUGGUAAAUUGUGUCACUUUGUUUUUGUCUACAUAAAUCUCCUUUUUAAAGUGUUUUGAAUUAAAGAACCUAACUUGUUUUUUGUUUUUUGUUUUUAAAUUUUGUCUGAUAGUUAAAUAAAAUCCUGCAUAAAAUGAAUGUUAUAUACCCACCAGGAGUAUUUAACUGGACCGCAUGACUCAACAGAAGGAAAGUUCAUCGUUAUGAUCAUUUACUCAGGCUCUCAGUUUUUUGGUGUGUGUGUGUGUGUGCGCGCGCGUGUGCAACAAAAAACAUUGCACUUGUUUUUUUGGGUUUUUUUUGUUUGUUUUUUUCCUUUCAUGUCAAGUUCACCUUGUGGUCUACACACUCAGGAUAUGCCCCAAAAAUGUCACUGCAAUGCAUAGAUCUCUUCGCUGUGUGGCAGGAGGAUUUAGUAACCUACUUGUUUUAAACUGGGUCAUAACACAAUCACUGGAAUAUAAAAUGCUGUAUAUCAUUGCAAUAGGUGAGUAUUCAGUUGGUAUCUCUUUUUGGAGAUGUUUCUGCUUUUGUUAAAACAGACAGACACUGACAUGUCUUCUUUGUAGGGGUAUAGUCAGUGUAUUUCAAGCUACUCUCUACUCAGUCAGUGUCUCAGCCGACAUGUUGCUACCACUGGCUUCCAGCAGGCUUCUGUAGCCAAAGAACAUACAUGUAAUGUCAGCUUUGUCUUUUGAGAUUUUUCUUAUUACAUUUUUAUACAUCAUUAUAUAGGUUGAUGUGAUUUUUGAAAACCUGUUUUGUUAAAGGAUUAAUAAAGUCAGAUAUUUUCAACUGUC